GAAAAGCAUAAAGAAGAUCACAAGAUCUGUGUGACAGGAGAUACAAAACUUAUCUGGCAAAGAGCAAAUGACUGGCCAAAAAGCAACAGCUAGAAAAGCCUCAGGAAGAGAUAAAGGACUCUGCAGUGAGCCUUCCCAUGGCCUCAGGAGAUAGUCAGGAAGAGGCUCCUUGGCUCUUGACAUGUCAGAAAGGAGUGGUUGCAUCAGAGCCUGACAAUGGGCCCAGCCUGCGCGCUGCUCCUGAGGAACUGCUCAUUGCUAUGUCCUGGACUUGUGUCCGUGGUGCAGAAUCCACUGACUGUGUGAAGGUUCUGGAAAUGCCCUAGAUAAGGAAAAUGUUGACUCUCUGAUCUCUUCUUCUGAGGCCCUGAACAACCGUAGCUCUACCUAGUCACAAACACGCGGAUCAUUUGCUGUAUAGCGCAGGUUCUGAGAUCACACAUGCCAGACUUCACUUACUUCAAGCUAUAGCUGAGAAGACAAAACCAGGAGUCAAGAGAAUACACAAGUCAUGCACUAUGAAGCCUUACCUCUUCCUCCCGCACACCGCGGGAGGACUUGUGUGGUAACAGCCGGUCCUGAGUUGUAGACUGUGGCCAGAAACAGGCCCAGGUGAACCGCCUCUGGCAAAGUUCUCUAGUUCAAACGGCUCUUGAAAAAGGUUGUCACCAUCAUUAUUACACAGUCACCAUCACAGGACUGCAUCCAAGGAGAUUAACACAGUCACCAUCACAGGACUGCAUCCAAGGAGUAGAUGCUUCCUCCAAGCACCUAGUCCCUGCCUGCCCGAGAGGGCUAGUCUUGGCUGUCAGCACCGCUUCCUCUGGAAUUAACAGACUCCAAAUGGUUGGGCACACCAGUGAGGGAUAUCUUUUUCCUCAAUGAUAUCAUUUGAAAGAGAAGCCCCCACUUCUAAUCCAGGGAAGAUCUACCUUUAAUCUGUGCCACACCUUCUGCUGGCAGCCUCUAUAAAGGACAUGGAAGAAGGAAGCUUUGCUGGCUUGCUCUUGCUGGCAAGUCCACUCCUUCACUGGCUUUAGAGCCUAUUUCUUUAGGAUUCUGGCCUAUACUGACACCCAGCCUCACGGACUAAAUAACUUUUUUUUUCUUUUUUUUUUUUUUUGUUGUUGUUUUUGUUGUUGUUGUUUUGGUUUUUGGUUUUUGGUUUUUGGGU